rnacentral:rRNA from 1 species
AACGCCCGGGGCUUCGGCCUGGUUAUUCAUAACCCUUUGUUGUCCGACUCUGUUGCCUCCGGGGCGACCCUGCCUUCGGGCGGGGGCUCCGGGUGGACACUUCAAACUCUUGCGUAACUUUGCAGUCUGAGUAAACUUAAUUAAUAAAUUAAAACUUUUAACAACGGAUCUCUUGGUUCUGGCAUCGAUGAAGAACGCAGCGAAAUGCGAUAAGUAAUGUGAAUUGCAGAAUUCAGUGAAUCAUCGAAUCUUUGAACGCACAUUGCGCCCCCUGGUAUUCCGGGGGGCAUGCCUGUUCGAGCGUCAUUUCACCACUCAAGCCUCGCUUGGUAUUGGGCAACGCGGUCCGCCGCGUGCCUCAAAUCGUCCGGCUGGGUCUUCUGUCCCCUAAGCGUUGUGGAAACUAUUCGCUAAAGGGUGUUCGGGAGGCUACGCCGUAAAACAACCCCAUUUCUAAGGUUGACCUCGGAUCAGGUAGGGAUACCCGCUGAACUUAAGCAUAUCAAUAAGCGGAGGAA